GAGUCCGAAAAAAGCCAGAUCUAGAAGGUGGCUGCGGAACGGUUUUAAGCGGAAGAUGGAGGAGCCGGAGGAACCGGCGGACAGUGGGCAGUCGCUGGUCCCGGUUUAUAUCUAUAGUCCCGAGUAUGUCAGUAUGUGUGACUCCCUGGCCAAGAUCCCCAAACGGGCCAGUAUGGUGCAUUCUUUGAUUGAAGCAUAUGCACUGCAUAAGCAAAUGAGGUAAGUUGUCUUUCUUGAACAUAGCCCUGAAGCUAGGUGUUCGUAGCCUUAAUAUCCUGCUUCACAGUGGGGCAAGGAAAAGAAUGGUCUUUUGAAAAAAUUAUUUUAGCU
rnacentral:sRNA from 1 species